UCUGGUUGAUCCUGCCAGUAGUUAUAUGCUUGUCUCAAAGAUUAAGCCAUGCAUGUCUAAGUACAAGCAAAAAUAAAGUGAAACCGCAAAAGGCUCAUUAUAUCAGUUAUGGUUCCUUAGAUCGUAUCCACAAUUACUUGGAUAACUGUGGUAAUUCUAGAGCUAAUACAUGCAUUUAAAGAGAAACCGGUAAAACGGGAUCUCUGCUUUUAUUAGAUUUAAACCAAUGGGGUUUGUUUCGGCAUUCUCAAUUCAAAUGGUUGAACUCUGGAUAAUUUGUUGAUCGCAUGGUCUCGUACCGGCGACGGAUCUUUCAAAUGUCUGCCCUAUCAACUAUUGAAGGUAGUGUCUUGGACUACCUUGGUUGCAACGGGUAACGGGGAAUCAGGGUUCGAUUCCGGAGAGGGAGCCUGAGAAACGGCUACCACAUCUAAGGAAGGCAGCAGGCGCGUAAAUUACCCACUCCCAGCACGGGGAGGUAGUGACGAAAAAUAACAAUACAAGACUCACAUCCGAGGCCUUGUAAUUGGAAUGAGUACACUUUAAAUCCUUUAACAAGGAUCAAUUGGAGGGCAAGUCUGGUGCCAGCAGCCGCGGUAAUUCCAGCUCCAAUAGCGUAUAUUAAAGUUGUUGCGGUUAAAACGUUCGUAGUUGAACUUGUGUCUCGCACGGGCAGUUACCAAGGUCUAGUUUACUAUUCCGGUAUCUUGUCUUAUCUUCACUUGUUUUCGGACUUGUGAAAAGUGCGUAGACGUAUUAUCGGCGUGUUCGCUCUCGCAGCGUUCACAUCAGCUCAUUUCAUUGAUCUUAACCGAUUGAUGUUGUGAGCCGAUACUAAUUACUUUGAACAAAUUAGAGUGCUUCAAGCAGGCUUCAAUGCCUAAAUAUUCUGUGCAUGGAAUAAUGAAAUAGGACAUCUGUUCUACUUUCAUUGGUUUUUUAGACCAAGAUGUAAUGAUUAAUGGAAGCAGUUGGGGGCAUUAGUAUUACAACGCGAGAGGUGAAAUUCUUAGACCGUUGUAAGACUGACUAAAGCGAAAGCAUUUGCCAAAGAUGUUUUCAUUUAAUCAAGAACGAAAGUUAGAGGUUCGAAGGCGAUCAGAUACCGCCCUAGUUCUAACCAUAAACGAUGCCAGCUAGCAAUUGAGUGUAGCUACUACUAUGGCUCUUUCAGUCGCUUCUCGGGAAACCAAAGCUUUUGGGCUCCGGGGGAAGUAUGGUUGCAAAGCUGAAACUUAAAGGAAUUGACGGAAGGGCACCACCAGGAGUGGAGCCUGCGGCUUAAUUUGACUCAACACGGGAAAACUUACCAGGUCCGAACAUAAAU
rnacentral:rRNA from 1 species